UCACAUCCGAGUCUCAACCAAGCUAAAAGACCGCGGGGUGACCGAGAGGAGACGACCAGGAGCUAAGUCGAGGUCGAAUUGCUUGCACCGAAGGUAAAAUCAUUCUGUUUUCGUGUUUUGGUGGUGGUUUAAGCUGUAGUGGAGUGGGACAGUGUCGAGCUGGCCGUGCGGGCGCGGUCGAGCCACCCACCCACGUAGGAACUGAGGAAGCUUCAUUGGGAAUAGGGAAACCCACACACCGGGGAAGCCGAAGGGUCUUCAGUGGGAAUGGAGGCCGGAAUCGCUUUUUGGGAUCCCAAUUCGCUGUUCGAGAAGCUGAAAAGUCUUUCUCAAAAACAAAAAUUCGAUUCACUGAACGAAGAGCCGAAAAGUUUUUC
rnacentral:lncRNA from 1 species